rnacentral:rRNA from 1 species
CCCUAUGGGGUGCAGCAGGCGCGAAAACUUCACACUGCAGGAAACUGUGAUGAGGGAACUCCAAGUGCUAUCACUAUGUGGUAGCUUUUCUUGACUAUUAAUCGGUCAUGGAAUAAGGGCUGGGAAAGACCGGUGCCAGCCGCCGCGGUAAUACCGGCAGCUCAAGUGGUCGUCGCUUUUAUUGGGCCUAAAACGUCCGUAGCCUGUUUGGUAAAUCUGUGGGUAAAUCAACCAGCUUAACUGGUUGAAUUCUGCAGAGACUGCCAGACUAGGGACCGGGAGAGGUGUGGGGUACUCUAGGGGUAGGGGUAAAAUCCUGUCAUCCUUAGAGGACCACCAGUUGCGAAGGCGCCACACUGGAACGGAUCCGACGGUCAGGGACGAAGCCUAGGGGCACGAACCGGAUUAGAUACCCGGGUAGUCCUAGGUGUAAACGCUGUGAACUUGGUGUCGGGGAUCCGUAAUGGGUCCUCGGUGCCGGAGUGAAGAUGUUAAGUUCACUGCCUGGGGAGUACGGUCGCAAGGCUGAAACUUAAAGGAAUUGGCGGGGGAGCACUGCAACGGGAGGAGCGUGCGGUUUAAUUGGAUUCAACGCCGGAAAACUCACCAAGGCCGACUGUUAGAUGAAGAUCAGCGUAAUGAGCUUAUCGGAUUUUCAGAGAGGUAGUGCAUGGCCAA